UACGUAGGUGGCAAGCGUUGUCCGGAUUUAUUGGGUUUAAAGGGUGCGUAGGCGGCCCUGUAAGUCAGUGCUGAAAUAUCCCAGCUUAACUGGGAGGGUGGCAUUGAUACUGCGGGGCUAGAGUACAGAUGAGGUAGGCGGAAUUGACGGUGUAGCGGUGAAAUGCUUAGAUAUCGUCAAGAACACCGAUAGCGAAGGCAGCUUACUAGGCUGUAACUGACGCUGAGGCACGAAAGUGUGGGGAUCAAACAGG
rnacentral:rRNA from 1 species